rnacentral:rRNA from 1 species
CCUACGGGUGGCAGCAGUGAGGAAUAUUGGUCAAUGCACGAGAGACUGACCCAGCCACGUAGCGUGAAGGAUGACUGCCCUCUGGGUUGUAAACUUCUUUUAUAGGGGAAUAAAUUCCUCCACGUGUGCGUUUUUGUAUGUACUUUAUGAAUAAGAGUCGGCUAACUCCGUGCCAUCAGCCGCGGUAAUACGGAGGAUCCGAGCGUUAUCCGGAUUGACUGGGUUUAAAGGGAGCGUAGCUGGGUUUUUAAGUCAGUUGUGAAAGUCUGCGGCUCAACCGUAAAAUUGCAAUUGAUACUAGCAGACUUGAGUAUAGGAGAGGGUGGCGGAAUUCGUGGUGUAGCGGUGAAAUGCGUAGAUAUCACGAAGAACACCGAUUGCGAAGGCAGCUCACUG